GACGAACGCUGGCGGCGUGCUUAACACAUGCAAGUCGAACGGAAAGGCCCUGCUUUUGUGGGGUGCUCGAGUGGCGAACGGGUGAGUAACACGUGAGUAACCUGCCCUUGACUUUGGGAUAACUUCAGGAAACUGGGGCUAAUACCGGAUAGGAGCUCCUGCUGCAUGGUGGGGGUUGGAAAGUUUCGGCGGUUGGGGAUGGACUCGCGGCUUAUCAGCUUGUUGGUGGGGUAGUGGCUUACCAAGGCUUUGACGGGUAGCCGGCCUGAGAGGGUGACCGGCCACAUUGGGACUGGGAUACGGCCCAGACUCCUACGGGAGGCAGCAGUGGGGAAUAUUGCACAAUGGGCGGAAGCCUGAUGCAGCAACGCCGCGUGCGGGAUGACGGCCUUCGGGUUGUAAACCGCUUUCGCCUGUGACGAAGCGUGAGUGACGGUAAUGGGUAAAGAAACACCGGCGAACUACGU
rnacentral:rRNA from 1 species